rnacentral:tRNA from 1 species
GGAUCGCUAGCUCAAUCGGUAGAGCAGACGCCUCUUAAGCGUAAGGUUCCGAGUUCGAUUCUCGGGCGAUCCA